rnacentral:tRNA from 1 species
GAGGGUAUAGCUCAGUGGUAGAGCACGUGCUUAGCAUGCACAAGGUCCUGAGUUCAUUACCCAGUAGUUCCA